rnacentral:tRNA from 1 species
GGAGGAUUGUCCGAGUGGCUAAGGAGCUCGCCUGGAAAGCGAGUAAGGCGUAACAGCCCCGCGAGUUCGAGUCUCGCAUCCUCCGCCA